CUGAUCCAGCCAUGCCGCGUGUGUGAAGAAGGCCUUCGGGUUGUAAAGCACUUUCAGUGGUGAGGAAGGCCUGUUGGUUAAUACCCAACAGGAUUGACGUUAGCCACAGAAGAAGCACCGGCUAACUCCGUGCCAGCAGCCGCGGUAAUC
rnacentral:rRNA from 1 species